rnacentral:tRNA from 1 species
GGAGGGGUGUCCGAGUGGUUGAAGGAGACAGUCUUGAAAACUGUUAUACCGGAAACGGUAUCGAGAGUUCGAAUCUCUCCCCCUCCGCCA